rnacentral:rRNA from 1 species
GACAGAGGGUGCAAACGUUGUUCGGAAUUACUGGGCGUAAAGCGUGUGUAGGCGGUCACGUAAGUCGGAUGUGAAAGCCCUGGGCUCAACCCAGGAAGUGCACUCGAUACUGCGUGGCUUGAGUACUGGAGAGGUUGGUGGAAUUCUCGGUGUAGAGGUGAAAUUCGUAGAUAUCGAGAGGAACACCGGUGGCGAAGGCGGCCAACUGGACAGAUACUGACGCUGAAACACGAAAGCGUGGGGAGCAAACAGG